rnacentral:rRNA from 1 species
UGCGUGACGGGUGAGUAACACGUGAGUAACCUGCCCUUGACUCUGUGGAUAAGCCUGGGAAGACUGGGUCUAAUACCGGAUAUGACCAUUCCACGCAUGUGGUGGUGGUGGAAAGCUUUUGUGGUUUUGGAUGGACUCGCGGCCUAUCAGCUUGUUGGUGGGGUAAUGGCCCUACCAAGGCGACGACGGGUAGCCGGCCUGAGAGGGUGACCGGCCACACAUGUGGAUCUGAGACACGGCCCAGACUCCAUUACGUGGAGGCAGCAGUGGGGGAUAUAUUGCACACAUGGGCGGCAAGCCUGAUGCAGCGACGCCGCGUGAGGGAUGUACGGCCUUCGGGUUGUAAACCUCUUUCAAGUGAGGAGAAGAAGCGACAAGUGACGGUUACCUGCAGAAGAAGUCGCCG